rnacentral:rRNA from 1 species
CCUACGGGAGGCAGCAGUGGGGAAUAUUGGACAAUGGGGGGAACCCUGAUCCAGCCAUGCCGCGUGUGUGAAGAAGGCCCUCGGGUUGUAAAGCACUUUCAGUGAGGAAGAACGCCUGGUGGUUAAUACCCAUCAGGAAAGACAUCACUCACAGAAGAAGCACCGGCUAACUCCGUGCCAGCAGCCGCGGUAAUACGGAGGGUGCGAGCGUUAAUCGGAAUUACUGGGCGUAAAGCGCGCGUAGGUGGCUUGAUAAGCCGGUUGUGAAAGCCCCGGGCUCAACCUGGGAACGGCAUCCGGAACUGUCAAGCUAGAGUGCAGGAGAGGAAGGUAGAAUUCCCGGUGUAGCGGUGAAAUGCGUAGAGAUCGGGAGGAAUACCAGUGGCGAAGGCGGCCUUCUGGACUGACACUGACACUGAGGUGCGAAAGCGUGGGUAGCAAACAGGAUUAGAUACCCCAGUAGUC